rnacentral:rRNA from 1 species
AGUCGAGCGGUAACAGAGAGUAGCUUGCUACUUUGCUGACGAGCGGCGGACGGGUGAGUAAUGCUUGGGAACAUGCCUUGAGGUGGGGGACAACAGUUGGAAACGACUGCUAAUACCGCAUAAUGUCUACGGACCAAAGGGGGCUUCGGCUCUCGCCUUUAGAUUGGCCCAAGUGGGAUUAGCUAGUUGGUGAGGUAAUGGCUCACCAAGGCGACGAUCCCUAGCUGGUUUGAGAGGAUGAUCAGCCACACUGGGACUGAGACACGGCCCAGACUCCUACGGGAGGCAGCAGUGGGGAAUAUUGCACAAUGGGCGCAAGCCUGAUGCAGCCAUGCCGCGUGUGUGAAGAAGGCCUUCGGGUUGUAAAGCACUUUCAGUCAGGAGGAAAGGUUAGUAGUUAAUACCUGCUAGCUGUGACGUUACUGACAGAAGAAGCACCGGCUAACUCCGUGCCAGCAGCCGCGGUAAUACGGAGGGUGCGAGCGUUAAUCGGAAUUACUGGGCGUAAAGCGUACGCAGGCGGUUUGUUAAGCGAGAUGUGAAAGCCCCGGGCUCAACCUGGGAACUGCAUUUCGAACUGGCAAACUAGAGUGUGAUAGAGGGUGGUAGAAUUUCAGGUGUAGCGGUGAAAUGCGUAGAGAUCUGAAGGAACAUCAGUGGCGAA